rnacentral:lncRNA from 10 species
CAGCCCAGGAUCCCUUGCGCCCUGCGGUAGCCCGGGGCUGCCCAGGGCUGCGGGCUCCAGGCACCCAGAGCGCUGCGACCACAUGAAAGGCCCGGCGCUCAGCACCCGCCAGCCACCUCCAGCUGGUUUCUAACUACACCGCCGGGGCCUCCAUGCUUCUCAGAGACCAGCCUUCGAAGUGCCGCCUUACACCCGGGGCCUGGCCACCGGGCGGGCGCGGAUGGAGCUCUGGUCCACAUUUGGGAGCUCACAGUUGUUCCUGCCAGGAACCAGCCAGAACAGGAGGCAGCCAGGGAGAGGGGAGCCAGGGAGAACACAGCCUCAGUCCUGGAAGGAGAGGGCCUGCUGGGAAGAACAGAACCCAGCUGUCUUGGCCCCAGAUGUGGAAGCUGAGACUUAAAGAAGCUAUGAAACUUGAUCAGGUCAUGCAGCGCCAGAGGACCCAAGGUGGGAUCUCAACCCAGACUGUUUGGCUCCAAAGCUGAACUGCUACAUUACGUUGCUUCAGCAAACAGUCAUUCAGAGACAAUGGGCUUUAGAGGAGUUUAGUGAUGUUACUAACAAACAUAAGUACCUUGUACUAACCUCCUGGUGCCCAAGUGUUUGAGGUGAGAAAAACUGAAACAUGAAAAGCCCAGAGAGGUAAAGUGACUGGCUCAAGCAAAUACAGGCUCCAGCUGCAGCCACUUUGAAGAUAAAGUUUCCUCCAUAGAAAUUCUGCAAUACAGAUGUCCUUCCGCGGUCCCAGUUCAGUCCUGCACCAGUUCCUUUUCCCACUGGGAAAUUUCUUUCCUCUUCCUACUUCCAUGCAACUGCGAGGCAAGGCUCAAGCCCACUUCCUUCUCCUUUUCCUGUGCCUCCCUGUGGAGGGAGCUCCCUCUUCUUGCAUCCUGAGAGAUGAACAUGAUUCCGCACAGUGACUUCAGGGUGGCUUAUUAAGGGGAUAAACUCCUCCACCUCUUCUUGUUAAGCAUGUCUGUUCGACAGUCCAAGCCCAAGAUGAAAGGCAAGUGGCAUGGCUGAAUCAGCACUUUGGUCCCACCAUGCCUGCCACCUGUUUUAUUAAGCGUGCCAGUGUGUCAAGUGCUGAGGAAUGAAAAGAAGGGUGUUGUUGUCAACCGUGACUUUAUCCCCUCACUCCAGGCCUUCCCUCAGCCACCUCAGCUGGAGAGGCCUUGAGGCUGAGGAAAAAGUGCCUUCCAGGAAAGCAACUGCACACAUUUACCUCAGAAAAUAGGAAGCCCCCAAGAGCAGUGAAUGAAACAUUACUUUGCUGUCUUUGGAGGCCAAUUUCCAGGUCUCUCCAUUUUAAAAUGAAUGCAGAUACAAAAUCUCCUCAGUCCCCUGUAGCCGCGUGUGUCGUGUUUGUCCCCUUGGGACAGAAAAUGGUGAGCUUAUGUCCUGUGGUGAGCAAGAGCCCCCCUUGACCUGAAGUAGCUUCCAUCCGUCCCUCAGCCUCCCCCUUUUCCUUUCCAGUAAAGAAACCCAGUUGCCUGGUACAGUGUCAGACUUUGCAAGGCUGUUAACGACCUAUAAAAGUCCAAAGACAGACUACUCCAGAAGGAGGAAUCACUGACUAAGGAAAUCCUGAAUGCCCUAAGCCUGCUCAUUAACAAGAGGCGAAUAAUAACAGCCAAAGUGGAGAAGCUCAUAAAUUACCCAAGGAAGCCCAACGAAGUUGGGGGGUGGGGCCUGACCAAUGGAAUCCAGGGUUCACUUCUGGGGUUAAUGGAAUCCUGGCUGGUCCCUGGGAUUGCCCAAGGCCAGGCGUGGUGUUUCCUUCCUGCCUUGCUGGGAGAGGUGUGGAAGUUUGAGGGAGGUGAUUAUUGCAGAGUCACCAGCAAAUCAGGGCGAUACUUGCUCUGGGCCACAGAGGGAAGUGGGUCACGCACUGGAGAGUAUUAGAACUCCAAGCUUUGUCUUGGCGAUGUGCUCCCAGAUAAGUAAACAACAUCCCUCCCUUUCCCUCCCCCUACUGGGCAUCUUCCACUCCCAGUCAUUUAUCACAGGCUGAAGAAAACACAUUAUUAAAAAGAAAAAGGAAAGGCGGGGAGGAAGACCUAGGACUUCUCAAACCCCUUUCCUUCCAAGAGCUCCAGGCUCCAUGCUAUGAUCACUAUGAGCUUCCCGGACGGGCUUCCACACCCCCAGCAAACUGGGGGAUGAGUUUAAUUUGCUUUCCAUUAAAGCUCCUGCUACUUACUAAAGAUUUCACAACGUAAUGGCUCAGUAUAAGCAAAAUGGAAGCCCCAGGCAUGACUCAGCCCACCUUUUCAUGACUCAGGAUCUGGAAGAAAUUGGAGAAUGUAUGAUCAAAUCUCGCCUGUGGCACAUCCAGUACGAAGAGGUUUCCCAAUGCCCUGAUGUUUGUGUCUGUGUAGACGGUGAUUUCAUCACUCCACCAAUAAAGCCUAACAGUACCAACAACAGCAAAAGAAUAUGGUAGCUGACCCUUAUGGAGCCUUAUCCAUCCCAGGCAUUAAUAGACACACACGUUUCCUCCUCCGGCCCUCAUGCUAAACUCAAGAGGAAACCUAGGCUCAGAGAGGUGACGUGACUGCCCAGAUCGCACAGGGUGAGAGCCAUGGCCAAACUCGGGGCCCAGUUCCCUAACUGUAGGACUACAACCACAUUUUGGUGCCAUAUUUGAUACAAACUCAGGUAGAGGUUAAGAUCACGGGCCAAAGAGCCAGAAAGUCCUUGGAGACUGUCUUGGCCGCAUACUUUAGGGUGAGUCACUUUGCCUUCCUGAGUCUCACCUGUAAGAUGGGGGAAAUAAUACCGUUUGUGAGGAUUAAAUGAGAUUCUUCACAUAAA